rnacentral:rRNA from 1 species
UGGGGAAUAUUGGACAAUGGGCGAAAGCCUGAUCCAGCCAUGCCGCGUGUGUGAAGAAGGUCUUCGGAUUGUAAAGCACUUUAAGUUGGGAGGAAGGGCAGUAAGUUAAUACCUUGCUGUUUUGACGUUACCAACAGAAUAAGCACCGGCUAACUUCGUGCCAGCAGCCGCGGUAAUACGAAGGGUGCAAGCGUUAAUCGGAAUUACUGGGCGUAAAGCGCGCGUAGGUGGUUCAGCAAGUUGGAUGUGAAAUCCCCGGGCUCAACCUGGGAACUGCAUCCAAAAUUACUGAGCUAGAGUACGGUAGAGGGUGGUGGAAUUUCCUGUGUAGCGGUGAAAUGCGUAGAUAUAGGAAGGAACACCAGUGGCGAAGGCGACCACCUGGACUGAUACUGACACUGAGGUGCGAAAGCGUGGGGAGCAAACAGGAUUAGAUACCCCGGUAGUCCACGCCGUAAACGAUGUCGACUAGCCGUUGGGAUCCUUGAGAUCUUAGUGGCGCAGCUAACGCGAUAAGUCGACCGCCUGGGGAGUACGGCCGCAAGGUUA